GAAAUGCGAUAAGUAAUGUGAAUUGCAGAAUUCAGUGAAUCAUCGAAUCUUUGAACGCACCUUGCGCUCCUUGGUAUUCCGAGGAGCAUGCCUGUUUGAGUGUCAUGAAACCUACGAACCCAAUACUUGGAUUUCGAGCCAUGCUUAAGUUUGGAUUUGGAUGUUUGCCGGUGAUGAACCGACUCAUCUUAAAAGUAUUAGCUUGGAUCUGUCUAUAUGACUGGUUUGACUUGGCAUAAUAAGUAUUUUGCUGAGGACAUCUUCGGAUGGCCAGGACCUAGACUACUGUCUGCUAACUAAACCAUCACUUUAAGUGCAUCUUUGGAUGUUACUCAUUGUGUAACUUUGACAUCUGGCCUCAAAUCAAGUAGGACUACCCGCUGAACUUAA
rnacentral:misc_RNA from 1 species